rnacentral:misc_RNA from 1 species
GUAGAAAGUGUGAUCUUAGUGCUUCGCAAAAGCACAGUUAGCAACUUAACGCAAGACUCCAAUAAUGGGUUACUGGAAGUUACUGAACCUUGAGCAAUAUUCAGUAAUGAAUGCUUUAUCUUCUCUGCCUGAGAUUCAAGAGAUGGCAAAGGGAGCCUCACCAGAGGAGAUAAGCACCUAAGUGAGGCAGACAUGACAUUCUCAUAUUUUGAGUUUAAGCAUUCACCCAAUAAUCUUACAUAUGGAUCUAGCAUUGACAACAACUGCUCGUCUUUCUUGUCAAAUUUCAUGUUCUUCAUGUAAUUCUGAAGCACUCCAAGAGCAAACUCAGUAAUAAGAUGGGAAUAUCGUGGAUCAACGCCGAUCAACUUAUCU